rnacentral:rRNA from 1 species
GACGAACGCUGGCGGCGUGCUUAACACAUGCAAGUCGAACGGAAAGGCCCUGCUUUUGUGGGGUGCUCGAGUGGCGAACGGGUGAGAACACGUGAGUAACCUGCCCUUGACUUUGGGAUAACUUCAGGAAACUGGGGCUAAUACCGGAUAGGAGCUCCUGCUGCAUGGUGGGGGUUUGAAAGUUUCGGCGGUGGGGGAUGGACUCGCGGCUUAUCAGCUUGCUGGGGGGGUAGUGGCUUACCAAGGCUUUGACGGGUAGCCGACCUGAGAGGGUGACAGGCCACAUUGGGACUGAGAUACGGCCCAGACUCCUACGGGAGGCAGCAGUGGGGAAUAUUGCACAAUGGGCGGAAGCCUGAUGCAGCAACGCCGCGUGCGGGAUGACGGCCUUCGGGUUGUAAACCGCUUUCGCCUGUGACGAAGCGUGAGUGACGGUAAUGGGUAAAGAAGCACCGGAUAACUACGUG